GAUGAAGAACGCAGUGAAAUGCGAUAAGUAAUGUGAAUUGCAGAAUUCAGUGAAUCAUCGAAUCUUUGAACGCACCUUGCGCCCUUUGGCUAUUCCAGAGGGCAUGCCUGUUUGAGUAUCAUGAACACCUCAACUCUCAUGGUUCUGCCAUGAUGAGCUUGGACUUUGGAGGUCUUGCUGGCCCCUGUGGUCAGCUCCUCUCAAAUGGAUCAGCUUGCCAGUGUUUGGUGGCAUCACAGGUGUGAUAACUAUCUACGCUUGUGGUUUUCCACCAGGUAACCUUCAGUGAUGGAGGUUCGCUGGAGCUCAUAAACGUCUCUCCUCAGCGAGGACAGCUUCUUGAAUGUUUGAUCUCAAAUCAGGUAGGGCUACCCGCUGAACUUAAGCAUAUCAAUAAGCGGAGGA
rnacentral:misc_RNA from 1 species